ACUUCCACACAAACAGUAGGUAUCCUACGCACAUACUUCCACACAAACAGUAGGUAUCCUACGCACAUACUUCCACACAAACAGUAGGUAUCCUACGCACAUACUUCCACACAAACAGUAGGUAUCCUACGCACAUACUUCCACACAAACAGUAGGUAUCCUACGCACAUACUUCCACACAAACAGUAGGUAUCCUACGCACAUACUUCCACACAAACAGUAGGUAUCCUACGCACAUACUUCCACACAAACAGUAGGUAUCCUACGCACAUACUUCCACACAAACAGUAGGUAUCCUACGCACAUACUUCCACACAAACAGUAGGUAUCCUACGCACAUACUUCCACACAAACAGUAGGUAUCCUACGCACAUACUUCCACACAAACAGUAGGUAUCCUACGCACGUACUUCCACACAAACAGUAGGUAUCCU